rnacentral:rRNA from 1 species
AGUGAACGCUGGCGGUAGGCCUAACACAUGCAAGUCGAACGGCAGCACAGUAAGAGCUUGCUCUUACGGGUGGCGAGUGGCGGACGGGUGAGGAAUACAUCGGAAUCUACUUUUUCGUGGGGGAUAACGUAGGGAAACUUACGCUAAUACCGCAUACGACCUACGGGUGAAAGCAGGGGAUCUUCGGACCUUGCGCGAUUGAAUGAGCCGAUGUCGGAUUAGCUAGUUGGCGGGGUAAAGGCCCACCAAGGCGACGAUCCGUAGCUGGUCUGAGAGGAUGAUCAGCCACACUGGAACUGAGACACGGUCCAGACUCUUACGGGAGGCAGCAGUGGGGAAUAUUAGACAAUGGGCGCAAGCCUGAUCCAGCCAUACCGCGUGGGUGAAGAAGGCCUUCGGGUUGUAAAGCCCUUUUGUUGGGAAAGAAAAGCAGCAGGUUAAUACCCCGCUGUUCUGACGGUACCCAAAGAAUAAGCACCGGCUAACUUCGUG